rnacentral:RNase_P_RNA from 1 species
CCAGCAGACCGGGUGACCGCCGGUCCGCCACUGGCGGACGGGAGGAAGGUCCGAGCUCCACCGGGCAGCGCGCUGGGUAACGCCCAGGCGGGGUGACCCGACGGAAAGUGGCACAGAAACAUACCGCCCCGGCUCGCCGGGGUAAGGGUGAAAUGGUGGGGUAAGAGCCCACCGGCUCCGGCGUGAGCCGGAGGCCGGCCAAACCCCGCGCGGAGCAAGGCCAAAUAGGAGGGCUUGCUCGCCGUCAGGCGGGCAUUAGGGCGCCCGGCCCGACGCCCUCGGGUUGGCCGCUUGACCCCGUCGGCAACGGCGGGGCUAGAUUGAUGGUCACCGCCCCGACAUGUCGGGGUACAGGACUCGGCCUACAGGUCUGCUGGGCCU